rnacentral:rRNA from 1 species
GAACGAUGACCCGGAGCUUGCUCUGGUGAUUAGUGGCGAACGGGUGAGUAACACGUGAGUAACCUGCCCUCCACUCUGGGAUAAGCACUGGAAACGGUGUCUAAUACCGGAUACGAGCUUCCGCCGCAUGGUGAGGAGUUGGAAAGAAUUUUGGUGGGGGAUGGACUCGCGGCCUAUCAGGUAGUUGGUGAGGUAAUGGCUCACCAAGCCAACAACGGGUAGCCGGCCUGAGAGGGUGACCGGCCACACUGGGACUGAGACACGGCCCAGACUCCUACGGGAGGCAGCAGUGGGGAAUAUUGCACAAUGGGCGAAAGCCUGAUGCAGCAACGCCGCGUGAGGGACGACGGCCUUCGGGUUGUAAACCUCUUUUAGUAGGGAAGAAGCGAAAGUGACGGUACCUGCAAAAAAAGCACCGGCUUAACUACGUGCCAGCAGCCGCGGUUAAUACGUAGGGUGCAAGCGUUGUCCGGAAUUAUUGGGCGUUAAAGAGCUCGUAGGCGGUUUGGUCCCCGUCUGCUGUGAAUCCGGGAG